rnacentral:rRNA from 1 species
AGAUUGAACGCUGGCGGCAUGCCUUACACAUGCAAGUCGAACGGCAGCACGGGAGCAAUCCUGGUGGCGAGUGGCGAACGGGUGAGUAAUACAUCGGAACGUGCCCAAUCGUGGGGGGAUAACGCAGCGAAAGCUGUGCUAAUACCGCAUAAGAUCUACGGAUGAAAGCAGGGGAUCGCAAGACCUUGCGCGAAUGGAGCGGCCGAUGGCAGAGUUAGGUAGUUGGUGGAGGUAAAGGCUCACCAAGCCUUCGAUCUGUAGCUGGUCUGAGAGGACGACCAGCCACGACUGGGACUGAGACACCGGCCAGACUCCGACGGGAGCAGCAGGUGGGGUAAUUUGGACAAGUGGGACGAAGCCGUAGACUCGAGCCAGUCGCCCGCGUCG